rnacentral:rRNA from 1 species
UACGAAGGGGGCUAGCGUUGCUCGGAAUGACUGGGCGUAAAGGGCGCGUAGGCGGAUGGCACAGUCAGAUGUGAAAUUCCUGGGCUUAACCUGGGGGCUGCAUUUGAUACGUGUUGUCUAGAGUGAGGAAGAGGGUUGUGGAAUUCCCAGUGUAGAGGUGAAAUUCGUAGAUAUUGGGAAGAACACCGGUGGCGAAGGCGGCAACCUGGUCCAGCACCGACGUUCAGGCACGAAAGCGUGGGGAGCAAACAGG